rnacentral:tRNA from 1 species
UAUUAGCUCAGUGGAUAGAGCACUAGCCUCCGAAGCUAGUGGUCGCAGGUUCAACUCCUGCAUAGC